rnacentral:lncRNA from 10 species
CUGGGAAACACCUACUCUAGGCUUUUGGUGUUUCUUUUCCUGCAGAGGGUGCUUCACUAGAACAACUUUUCUGAUUUUUUAUUCCUUUGCAUACUCCUCUCUAGGAGAAGUGAAGUGGCUUAUGUUUUUCAUCAGUUUCAAAGCCCCCUCUUCUCAUAUUUUCUCCCCUCUUUGGGACCCAGCUGCCAAGGAACAGGCUUUGUGUCCCAUCCCCCAUGCGUUCCUUUGCCUGCAUUAAGCAUUCAGAAGUCAAGAAAAGAAGAGUGUGGUUUCUUGGGCUGCUUCAGAAGCCAAAAUUAAGGAAUUCUGAGGGCAUAAAUGGGAGACCUUCUAUUUUAUAGAAGUUUUGGAUUCUGCAAGUUCCAGGCUCAAUACUGGUGUGGGACCACUUAGCUCCUUUCAAUGAAUUUAUGAUUAAGCAAGAGUUUCAAGUUCUGCCUCAAUCUUGCCAGAGCCCUAAGGCAUAGUCCCUGGAUGACAGAGCUGAUGAAGACAUCUGCCUCAAGCAGAGGCCUGAUUCCCAUAUUAAAGAGGACUGAGAGUAAAGUGGAAUUAAUCUGUUUCUUUGGGGCUACUUCUGGGCAUCCUGUGAGUCAAGAUGCUGAGACAUACAGUUUCACUUAUUUUUGACAUCCUGAAGGCAACUGGAUGUUUCAAGUUCAGAUGAUGAGAAAGGUCUCCAUAAA